rnacentral:rRNA from 1 species
GACGAACGCUGGCGGCGUGCUUAACACAUGCAAGUCGAACGGAAAGGCCUGCUUUCCCUUGUGGAUUGCGGGUACUCGAGUGGCGAACGGGUGAGUAACACGUGAGUGAUCUGCCCCCAACUUGGGUAUAAGCCUGGGAAACUGGGUCUAAUUCCCGAUAGGACUGCAGGGUGGUGCCUGUGGUGGAAAACGAUUUUCUAGAGGUUGGGGAUGAGCUCGCGGCCUAUCAGCUUGUUGGUGGGGUAAUGGCCUACCAAGGCGGCGACGGGUAGCCGGCCUGAGAGGGUGGACGGCCACAUUGGGACUGAGAUACGGCCCAGACUCCUACGGGAGGCAGCAGUGGGGAAUAUUGCACAAUGGGCGGAAGCCUGAUGCAGCGACGCCGCGUGGGGGAUGACGGCCUUCGGGUGGUAAACUCCUUUCGACCGCGAGGAAGCCACCUGGUUGGAAGGGUGGUGACGGUAGUGGUAGAAGAAGCACCGGCUAACUACGUG